CUUCUUCUUCCUCACAAAACUGCCACUCUCCUCUUCCAAAAUCUGCAAAAAGCGACGUCUCCUCCCGAACCCUUGCAAAAGCUUCCGUUCUCAUGCUUCCAUAUCUGGA